GAUGAAGAACGUAGCGAAAUGCGAUAAGUAAUGUGAAUUGCAGAAUUCAGUGAAUCAUCGAAUCUUUGAACGCACCUUGCGCCUUUUGGUAUUCCGAAAGGCACACCUGUUUGAGCGUCAUGAAUACCUCAAUCUCCAUCUUUUCUUCGGAUUGAUGGGUGACUUUGAUGUUGAGCCCUGCUGGUAUGCUAUAUCAGCUGGCUUUAAACUUAUUAGCCGGCUCUGUACUGGAUCGGUUUGACUCGACGUGAUAAUAUUAUCGUUGAGGAUGCAUGUCUCAUGCAGCCGGAAAGUAUCAAAGCAGCUUCUAGCUUGCCUUUAGUGCACUUUUACAUUUUAGACCUCAGAUCAGGUGGGACUACCCGCUGAACUUAAGCAUAUCAAUAAGCGGAGGA
rnacentral:misc_RNA from 1 species